rnacentral:rRNA from 1 species
AUUACCGCGGCUGCUGGCACGUAGUUGGCCGGUGCUUCUUCUCCCACUACCGUCACUCACGCUUCGUCAUGGGUGAAAGCGGUUUACAACCCGAAGGCCGUCAUCCCGCACGCGGCGUUGCUGCAUCAGGCUUCCGCCCAUUGUGCAAUAUUCCCCACUGCUGCCUCCCGUAGG